UACGGAGGGAGCUAGCGUUGUUCGGAAUUACUGGGCGGAAAGCGCACGUAGGCGGCUACUCAAGUCAGAGGUGAAAGCCCAGGGCUCAACCUUGGAACUGCCUUUGAAACUAGGUAGCUAGAAUUCUGGAGAGGUCAGUGGAAUUCCGAGUGUAGAGGUGAAAUUCGUAGAUAUUCGGAAGAACACCAGUGGCGAAGGCGACUGACUGGACAGAUAUUGACGCUGAGGUGCGAAAGCGUGGGGAGCAAACAGG
rnacentral:rRNA from 1 species